GCCUUAGUGGUGAAAUGGUAGACACGCGAAACUCAAAAUCUCGUGUUAAAGAGCGUGGAGGUUCGAGUCCUCUUCAAGGCA
rfam:Ricinus communis cultivar Hale ctg_1100012359097, whole genome shotgun sequence.